rnacentral:lncRNA from 1 species
AGCUCUCAUUUUCCUAUUUUGGAUGCUUUGUGUUGCAUAAUAUCUGGGAUACAGUAGCAGGUUGGUUGCAAAUGUUUGAAACAGAAAUAGGUUGCAUUUCAGAGUCCAACUGUGAGCCUGUGAAGCAGCUAGCGUUCUCUCAAGGUCUGUUGCCUCGGAAUCGGUUAGAAAUUAUUGUAUUUAGGUGUAAAAUGGUGACUUGGUCUUUCAGGCGGCUUGAGUUUAUAACUGGCCCUUUUACCCUGAGACUUAUCAGCUACCUCCUUCUCCAAAAGAAUGACAGAGGAUGUCCCCCUGGGAGUCAAGGUGGAAGCCUGAGGCGAGCUGCUACUGCAUCAGGGCAGCACAGAACAUCAGACAGGGAGAGUGGGGGCGAGGAGGAGACAGGAGAUCCCACACUCCACAUUCCAGAUUUCAAGAUGGCUAUUUAAAAAUCCUUCCCGAGACCAAGUGCACUACAGAAAAUAUAAUGAAACAAAAAUAAAGAAAAAAUAUGUCACAAUGUCAUUUCAUUAUCAAACCAACCCCCUCCGAUGAAACACACACACACACACACACACACAUGCGCAUUUCCACAGAAUGCCUUGAAAUUCUAGUUUUCUUCAUGGUCACUGUAAACUGCUAUAUAUAUAUAUAUAUAUAUAUAUAUAUAUAUAUAUAUAUAUAUUCAUAUUUACCUGGUAACUAGCUGGGGUGGUGUACCUGAUUUAGCUGGAGACUUUG